AUUUUGUUGGUUUCUAGGGCGGAAGUAAUGAUUGAUAGGGAUAGUUGGGGGUGCUAGUAUUCAGCGGCCAGAGGUGAAAUUCAUGGAUUCGCUGAAGACUAACUUAUGCGAAAGCAUUCACCAAGGAUGUCCUCUUUAAUCAAGAACGAAAGUUGGGGGAUCGAAGACGAUCAGAUACCGUCGUAGUCUCAACCAUAAACUAUGUCGACUAGGGAUUGGCGGUCGUUUUUAUUGUAAGACUCCGUCAGCACCUUAUGAGAAAUCAAAGUGUUUGGACUCUUGGGGAAGUAUGGUCGCAAGGCUGAAACUUAAAGGAAUUGACGGAAGGGCACCACCAGGAGUGAACCAUGCGUGUUCUGCCCCGCCGCAGCAGCAUCCGCUCCGAAUAGCAGCUGGAAACAGUGAGGUGGGUCGGGUCCUUGUAAAACAAACCUGCUAGUGCCGACGGACGAGUUCGUCGACGCGACAUCGUCAAAUUGCGGGAACCUCCUAACGCUUCACCUACCAAGUGCUGCUACGCGUGUGCGCGAAAGCGCCAGCACGGCCGAGCUAAUCGCCCUGGGUAUGGUAACAACGGUGAAGAUAUAUCAUGGACGAUCCGCAGCCAAGUCCUACGUCGAAGUUCAUUCGAUAUGGAACGGGUUCAGAGACUAGAUGGCGGUGGGUCUGGCGCCUCGCGCGCCUGGCUUAAGAUAUAGUCCAAUCCGGUCAGCGAAAGCGCCGGCAACGAUAUUGGGAGCCUGCGGCUUAAUUUGACUCAACACGGGAAAACUUACCAGGUCCAGAGAUGUAGAGGAUUGACAGAUUGAAGCUCUUUCUUGAUCACUUCGGUGGUGGUGCAUGGCCGUUCUUAGUUGGUGGAGUGAUUUGUCUGGUUAAUUCCGUUAACGAACGAGACCUCAGCCUGCUUUUGUAGUUAUGCCUAUGCCUUCCCGGCCUAGGUCCGUGACUUCUUAGAGGGACUAUCGGUGUGGCAGCCGAUGGAAGUUUGAGGCAAUAACAGGUCUGUGAUGCCCUUAGAUGUUCUGGGCCGCACGCGCGCUACACUGCUGGGUUCAACGAGUCCGAACCGUACUUGGCUGAAAGGCCUGGUUAAUCUUUUGAAAUCCCAGCGUGCUUGGGCUUGCCUCUUGGAACUAGAGGCACCAACGAGGAAUUCCUAGUAGACGCAAGUCAUCAACUUGCAUCGAUUACGUCCCUGCCCUUUGUACACACCGCCCGUCGCUCCUACUGAUUGAGUGCUCCGGUGAAAUGUCGGGAGAUUGCUCCGCCGAUCAGCAAUGGUCGCGGAGUGGUCGAACUUCAUUAAAUUUGGGCUCUUAGAAGAAGGAGAAGUCGUAACAAGGUUUCCGUAGGCGUCGUCGUCGG
rnacentral:rRNA from 1 species